GCCCGCCCGCAUCCCCGAACACUGAGCCCUGUUCCAGCACGAGGCAGGCCCCACUCCCUGAGCAGUCAGAGUAACAGCAGGGGUAGGGCCCACUGAGCAAGUCAGAGUAACAGCAGGGGCAGGGCCCACUCCCCGAGGAAGUCAGAGUAACAGCAGGGGCAGGGCCCACUCCCCGAGCAGUCAGAGUAACAGCAGAGGCAGGCCCCACUCCCCGAGGAAGUCAGAGUAACAGCAGGGGCAGGGCCCACUCCCCGAGGAAGUCAGAGUAACAGCAGGGGCAGGCCCCACUCCCCGAGCAGUCAGAGUAACAGCAGGGGCAGGGCCCACUCCCCGAGGAAGUCAGAGUAACAGCAGAGGCAGGGCCCACUCCCCGAGCAGUCAGAGUAACAGCAGGGGCAGGGCCCACUCCCCGAGGAAGUCAGAGUAACAGCAGAGGCAGGGCCCACUCCCCGAGCAGUCAGAGUAACGGCAGGGGUAGGGCCCACUCCCCGAGCAGUCAGAGUAACAGCAGAGGCAGGGCCCACUCCCUGAGCAAUCAGAGUAACAGCAGGGGCAGGGCCCACUCCCUGAGCAGUCAGAGUAACAGCAGAGGCAGGGCCCACUCCCUGAGCAAGUCAGAGUAACAGCAGGGGCAGGGCCCACUCCCCGAGGAAGUCAGAGUAACAGCAGGGGCAGGG